AACGAACGCUGGCGGCAGGCUUAACACAUGCAAGUCGAACGCGCCCUUCGGGGCGAGUGGCAGACGGGUGAGUAACGCGUGGGAACCUACCUUUUGGUACGGAAUAACUCAGGGAAACUUGAGCUAAUACCGUAUGUGCCCUUCGGGGGAAAGAUUUAUCGCCAAAGGAUGGGCCCGCGUCGGAUUAGCUAGUUGGUGGGGUAAUGGCCUACCAAGGCGCCGAUCCGUAGCUGGUCUGAGAGGAUGAUCAGCCACACUGGGACUGAGACACGGCCCAGACUCCUACGGGAGGCAGCAGUGGGGAAUAUUGGACAAUGGGGGCAACCCUGAUCCAGCCAUGCCGCGUGAGUGAUGAAGGCCUUAGGGUUGUAAAGCUCUUUCGCCGGUGAAGAUAAUGACGGUAACCGGAGAAGAAGCCCCGGCUAACUUCGUGCCAGCCGCCGCCGUAACAC
rnacentral:rRNA from 1 species